AGUGGCGCACGGGUGCGUAACACGUAUGCAAUCUACCUUUAAUUGGGGAAUAGCUUCGAGAAAUCGGAAUUAAUACCCCAUAACAUUAUGAAGUGGCAUCACUAUAUAAUUAAACCUCCGGGGAUUAAAGAUGAGCAUGCGCAACAUUAGCUAGUUGGUAAGGUAAUGGCUUACCAAGGCUACGAUGUUUAGGGGGUCUGAGAGGAUGAUCCCCCACACUGGUACUGAGACACGGACCAGACUCCUACGGGAGGCAGCAGUAGGGAAUAUUGGGCAAUGGAGGCAACUCUGACCCAGCCAUGCCGCGUGCAGGAUGACUGCCCUCUGGGUUGUAAACUGCUUUUAUACGGGAAGAAAAAAUACUACGUGUAGUACAUUGACGGUACCGUAAGAAUAAGGAUCGGCUAACUCCGUGCCAGCAGCCGCGGUAAUACGGAGGAUCCAAGCGUUGUCCGGAUUUAUUGGGUUUAAAGGGUGCGUAGGCGGAUCGUUAAGUCAGUGGUGAAAGCCUGCAGCUUAACUGUAGAACAGCCAUUGAAACUGAAGAUCUUGAAUUUGGUUAAAGUAGGCGGAAUGUAUCAUGUAGCGGUGAAAUGCUUAGAUAUGAUACAGAACACCGAUAGCGAAGGCAGCUUGCUGAGCCAAUAUUGACGCUGAGGCACGAAAGCGUGGGGAGCAAACAGGAUUAGAUACCCUGGUAGUCCGCGCCCUAAACGUUGAUUACUCGU
rnacentral:rRNA from 1 species